rnacentral:rRNA from 1 species
GACGAACGCUGGCGGCGCGCUUAACACAUGCAAGUCGAACGGAAAGGCCUGCUUUCCCUUGUGGAUUGCGGGUACUCGAGUGUCGAACGGGUGAGUAACACGUGCGUGAUCUGCCCCCAACUUGGGUAUAAGCCUGGGAUACUGGGUCUAAUUCCCGAUAGGACUGCAGGGUGGUGCCUGUGGUGGCAACCGAUUUUCUUGUGGUUGUGGCUGAGCUGCCGGCCUAUCAGCUUGUUGGUGGGGUAAUGGCCGACCAAGGCGGCGACGGGUAGCCGGCCGGGGAGGGGGGACGGCCACAUUGGGACUGGGAAACGGCCCAGACACCUACGGGAGGCAGCAGUGGGGAAUAUUGCACAAUGGGCGGAAGCGUGAUGCAGCGACGCCGCGUGGGGGAUGACGGCCUUCGGGUUGUAAACGCCUUUCGACCGCGAGGAAGCCACCUGGUUGGAAGGGUGGUGACGGUAGUGGUAGAAGAAGCACCGGCUAACUACGUG